UCGCGGCUUAUCACCGGCAGUCCCCCUAGAGUGCCCAACUCAAUGAUGGCAACUAGGGGCGAGGGUUGCGCUCGUUGCGGGACUUAACCCAACAUCUCACGACACGAGCUGACGACGGCCAUGCACCACCUGUGACCGGCCCCGAAGGACACCGCAUCUCUACGGCUUUACCAGCCAUGUCAAACCCAGGUAAGGUUCCUCGCGUUGCAUCGAAUUAAUCCGCAUGCUCCGCCGCUUGUGCGGGCCCCCGUCAAUUCCUUUGAGUUUUAGCCUUGCGGCCGUACUCCCCAGGCGGGGCACUUAAUGCGUUAGCUCCGGCACGGGAGGAGUCGACACCUCCCACACCUAGUGCCCAUCGUUUACGGCGUGGACUAC
rnacentral:misc_RNA from 1 species